rnacentral:rRNA from 1 species
UACGAAGGGGGCUAGCGUUGCUCGGAAUCACUGGGCGUAAAGCGCACGUAGGCGGCUUCUUAAGUCAGGGGUGAAAUCCUGGAGCUCAACUCCAGAACUGCCUUUGAUACUGAGGAGCUUGAGUCCGGGAGAGGUGAGUGGAACUCCGAGUGUAGAGGUGAAAUUCGCAGAUAUCGGGAGGAACACCAAUUGCGAAGGCAGCUCGCUGGGACGUUACUGACGCUGAGACGCGAAAGCGUGGGGAGCAAACAGG